rnacentral:rRNA from 1 species
UACAGAGGGUGCAAGCGUUGUUCGGAUUUACUGGGCGUAAAGCGUACGCAGACGGUAUGCCAAGUCGAACGUGAAAGCCCCGGGCUCAACCUGGGAACUGCGCUCGAUACUAGCAAACUAGAGUUCGGGAGAGGAAAGCGGAAUUCCUGGUGUAGAGGUGAAAUUCGUAGAUAUCAGGAGGAACACCGGCGGCGAAGGCGGCUUUCUGGCCCGACACUGACGUUGAGGUACGAGAGCGUGGGUAGCAAACAGG